rnacentral:rRNA from 1 species
CCUACGGGAGGCAGCAGUGGGGAAUAUUGGACAAUGGGCGAAAGCCUGAUCCAGCAAUGCCGCGUGAGUGAAGAAGGCCUUCGGGUUGUAAAGCUCUUUUACCCGGGAAGAUAAUGACUGUACCGGGAGAAUAAGCCCCGGCUAACUCCGUGCCAGCAGCCGCGGUAAUACGGAGGGGGCUAGCGUUGUUCGGAAUUACUGGGCGUAAAGCGUACGUAGGCGGCCAUUCAAGUCAGAGGUGAAAGCCCGGGGCUCAACUCCGGAAUUGCCUUUGAAACUAGGUGGCUUGAACACGGGAGAGGUGAGUGGAAUUCCGAGUGUAGAGGUGAAAUUCGUAGAUAUUCGGAAGAACACCAGUGGCGAAGGCGGCUCACUGGACCGUUGUUGACGCUGAGGUACGAAAGCGUGGGGAGCAAACAGGAUUAGAUACCCUGGUAGUCCACGCCGUAAACGAUGAGAACUAGCUGUCAGGGCUCUUAGAGCUUUGGUGGCGCAGCUACGACAUUAAGUUACUUCCGUCCGUCGGGUAGGUACGGCCGGCCGAACGGUUAAAACGUUAACAAAUAGAAUUAGACGGCGUGAGACGUCGCCGAACGGACGACCGACGAGGGGAGGUAGG